GAGUUUGAUCUUGGCUCAGGAUGAACGCUGGCGGCGUGCCUAAUACAUGCAAGUCGAGCGAACGGACGAGAAGCUUGCUUCUCUGAUGUUAGCGGCGGACGGGCGAGUAACACGUGGAUAACCUACCUAUAAGACUGGGAUAACUUCGGGAAACCGGAGCUAAUACCGGAUAAUAUUUUGAACCGCAUGGUUCAAAGGUGAAAGACGGUCUUGCUGUCACUUAUAGAUGGAUCCGCGCUGCAUUAGCUAGUUGGUAAGGUAACGGCUUACCAAGGCAACGAUGCAUAGCCGACCUGAGAGGGUGAUCGGCCACACUGGAACUGAGACACGGUCCAGACUCCUACGGGAGGCAGCAGUAGGGAAUCUUCCGCAAUGGGCGAAAGCCUGACGGAGCAACGCCGCGUGAGUGAUGAAGGUCUUCGGAUCGUAAAACUCUGUUAUUAGGGAAGAACAUAUGUGUAAGUAACUGUGCACAUCUUGACGGUACCUAAUCAGAAAGCCACGGCUAACUACGUCG
rnacentral:rRNA from 1 species